CUCUCUCCCACAUCUCUCACUUUCCUCCAUUUUCCUCCAUUGAAGAGACCUUCGGAGCUUCCAAAAAUUUCACCAAACACCUCAAUCCACUCUUAAUUCACACAUAAACACAUCCUAGCUACUUGAAUUCAAGAGAAUCAUUGAAGAAGGGCUUCAAAGCUAGAGUGAGAAAGUGUGAAUCUUGGUAAGAAAUUUGGGUCCGGACGACAGGAAGUGAAGCCGAAGAAGAAGCGACUCCACGCUAGCUUAAGAACGUUUGAGGUUGAGCAGCUGAUGGAAUGGAAUGGUGUUGAGCGGGUGUUCCUUUGACAUUUCAAGAAAUGUAACCUUGAGUAUACAUCUUCAUAUGUAUAUCUCACACGUUUUCCGCUGCAAACACUUUGAUUAGGAUAGUUCUAUGUUAUGAAGUUGUGACACGUGUUAUUGGGUAACCCACCUUAAUCAGUUUUCCUUUAUGUGUAUGUUUUAUAAGUAUCCAAAUAAUCAUAUAUGGUCCUAGCAUUUUAUCUAUGAGUGACAUUUCCAUAUACUUUAAUGUUAAGUAAUUGUCCAUUUCCGUUCCCA